rnacentral:rRNA from 1 species
CCCUUAGACGUUCUGGGCCGCACGCGCGCUUCACUGACGAAGGCAACGAGCUUUCCUUUACCGAAAGGUACGGGUAAUCUUUUGAAACUUCGUCGUGCUGGGGAUAGAUCCUUGCAAUUAUUGAUCUUAAACGAGGAAUUCCUAGUAAGCGCAAGUCAUCAACUUGCGUUGAUUACGUCCCUGCCCUUUGUACACACCGCCCGUCGCUACUACCGAUUGAAUGGUUUAGUGAGGCCUUCGGAUCCGCGACUCGUUUUGUGGAGAAGUUGGACAAACUCAGUCAUUUAGAGGAAGUAAAAGUCGUAACA